UAUAGAGAAUACCGUUUCCACGAAAACGGUCAAAUCCAAAGCGACUGUCUGAACAUCUCUUUUUGAAAAUGGGUAUAAUUCUGCUGGGUCAGUAGUUCAGUUGGUUAGAAUGCCGCUCUGAUACAGCGGAGGUCGAAGAUUCGAGUUCUUCCUGACCCACCACUUAAAUUGAUGAGGUUGGAAUCAAAAACAAAUACUUGUUUUUGAUUCCAGAUGUUGUGAUGAAUAUCUUCGGAAUCUGCUUUUAUUAGCAAUCAUUGUAAAUCGGUUUUUAAUGUCGUAAAUCAAACUUUAUGGAAACAUGACUUUUGAUUUAUUGAACAUCGUAAUCUCAAAAAUCUUUCUAAAUAGAGUAAUCACGAAAGUGAUAAUUCAAUUAGAGAAGCAAGAAUCAACUUAAAUGCUUAAAAAACUCAUUAAGUUCUUUUGAUUGUGUUUGAAGACUUUCUCUUCAAGCAUAAGAUAAAAAGUAACAAAGGGUGUUUAGUGGAUGCCUUGGCAAUCAGAGGCGAUGAAGGACGUGAAAGACUGCGAUAAGUCCGGGUGAGGCGUCAAUAUCCUUUGACCCCGGAAUUUC
rnacentral:misc_RNA from 1 species